rnacentral:misc_RNA from 1 species
AAAAAAAGCUCAAAGAGGACCACCACGACAGGAGUCAUAGUUCUCAUCCACACAUAGCAAACUGCACUAACCAACAUGAAAGCAGAACAGGGUAGUUGAGAAGUAAACGCCACAUGCACCACCAGGGUUUGGACCCAUGCCAGAUGAACGGGGAAAUGCAUGGCAGUGAUGCAAGCAUCUCAAUCUCCUUUAGCUCGGGAUACGCCAACUAGAUCCAUACACACUACUGAACUGCUAGCUGACAGGGGAUCUCCCU